GGGCAUAUGGUGUAGUUGGUUAUCACGCUCGCUUAACAUAGAGCUGUACGCACUCGUGCGAGGGGCGUUGGUUAAAAUACUGGUGUGUCCA